rnacentral:rRNA from 1 species
UACAGAGGUCUCAAGCGUUGUUCGGAUUCAUUGGGCGUAAAGGGUGCGUAGGCGGCGCGGUAAGUCGGGUGUGAAAUCUUGGAGCUUAACUCCGAAACUGCAUUCGAUACUGCCGUGCUUGAGGACUGGAGAGGAGACUGGAAUUUACGGUGUAGCGGUGAAAUGCGUAGAUAUCGUAAGGAAGACCAGUGGCGAAGGCGGGUCUCUGGACAAGUUCCUGACGCUGAGGCACGAAGGCCAGGGGAGCAAACGGGG